rnacentral:rRNA from 1 species
CCUACGGGUGGCUGCAGUGGGGAAUAUUGGACAAUGGGGGCAACCCUGAUCCAGCCAUGCCGCGUGUGUGAAGAAGGCCCUCGGGUUGUAAAGCACUUUCAGUGAGGAAGAACGCCUGGUGGUUAAUACCCAUCAGGAAAGACAUCACUCACAGAAGAAGCACCGGCUAACUCCGUGCCAGCAGCCGCGGUAAUACGGAGGGUGCGAGCGUUAAUCGGAAUUACUGGGCGUAAAGCGCGCGUAGGUGGCUUGAUAAGCCGGUUGUGAAAGCCCCGGGCUCAACCUGGGAACGGCAUCCGGAACUGUCAAGCUAGAGUGCAGGAGAGGAAGGCAGAAUUCCCGGUGUAGCGGUGAAAUGCGUAGAGAUCGGGAGGAAUCCCAGUGGCGAAGGCGGCCUUCUGGACUGACACUGACACUGAGGUGCGAAAGCGUGGGUAGCAAACAGGAUUAGAUACCCCUGUAGUC